UACGUAGGGUGCGAGCGUUAAUCGGAAUUACUGGGCGUAAAGCGUGCGCAGGCGGUUUUGUAAGUCUGUCGUGAAAGCCCCGGGCUCAACCUGGGAAUUGCGAUGGAGACUGCAAGGCUUGAAUCUGGCAGAGGGGGGUAGAAUUCCACGUGUAGCAGUGAAAUGCGUAGAUAUGCGGAGGAACACCGAUGGCGAAGGCAAUCCCCUGGGCCUGCACUGACGCUCAUGCACGAAAGCGUGGGGAGCAAACAGG
rnacentral:rRNA from 1 species